CUGGAAACUUGCUGCUAUGUGCUGGGGCUCCCUCAGAUCUUUUUCUGUUUGAAUCUUCAUUCUCUCUCAGGGGUCACCAGGCGUCUUUCUCCACCUAGUGGUCACUGGGUCCCAACCACAGAGCUAAAAACCAACUGCUUCUCACUGCAAGGAAAACAAGUGUGGCUUCUGGUGUGACAAGUCCUAGACUGAAGAAGACAUCUAAGCAGGUGUUUGGAAAAGCCAGUGGGCAUCCCAAUAAGUAGGCUGACUUGCAAUGCUUCAGUUUUUUUGGUGACACGCUUUGCAUUCUGGUCCAAGAAAGAGUUUCAUAAUGUUUGUGACUAGGUAUCGCACAGGUGGAGGUGAAGAGUGGACAUUUUCAUAACCUGCUAUGCCCGCAUCAUAAAGUUCACUUCUCAAAACAACAAGAUAGAAGAAAAGAUUAGAAGUUUCCAUUAUUAUCAGCUUUAUGUGAUGCCAUGCUAGUAAGUCUCUGUGAUGCUCUGGGAAUAUUAGGCAUUCAGUAGAAACUCAUAUUGAAUUGAAUUGAAUUAGUGCCUUGAUUUUUAUACAUUGCCA
rnacentral:lncRNA from 1 species